AUCCAGCUGACGAGUCCCAAAUAAGAUGAGACGGGCGUACUGGAU
rnacentral:hammerhead_ribozyme from 1 species